rnacentral:rRNA from 1 species
AGUGGCGGACGGGUGAGUAACGCGUGAGAAUCUGCCUUCAGGUCGGGGACAACAGAGGGAAACUUCUGCUAAUCCCGGAUGAGCCUUAGGGUAAAAAAUUUAUUGCCUGGAGAUGAGCUCGCGUCUGAUUAGCUAGUUGGUAAGGUAAAAGCUUACCAAGGCAACGAUCAGUAGCUGGUCUGAGAGGAUGAGCAGCCACACUGGGACUGAGACACGGCCCAGACUCCUACGGGAGGCAGCAGUGGGGAAUUUUCCGCAAUGGGCGAAAGCCUGACGGAGCAAGACCGCGUGGGGGAGGAAGGCUCUAGGGUUGUAAACCCCUUUUCUUUGGCAAGAACAAAAUGACGGUACCAAAGGAAUCAGCCUCGGCUAACUCCGUGCCAGCAGCCGCGGUAAUACGGAGGAGGCAAGCGUUAUCCGGAAUGAUUGGGCGUAAAGCGUCCGCAGGUGGCAAUGUAAGUCUGCUGUCAAAACCCAGGGCUCAACUCUGGUCAGGCAGUGGAAACUACAUAGCUAGAGUUCGGUAGGGGCAAAGGGAAUUCCCGGUGUAGCGGUGAAAUGCGUAGAGAUCGGGAAGAACAUCGGUGGCGAAAGCGCUUUGCUAGACCGAAACUGACACUCAGGGACGAAAGCUAGGGGAGCGAAUGGGAUUAGAUACCCC